rnacentral:lncRNA from 1 species
UUUAAUCUCCCUGUACAGAGGCACCUGAAAGCUGUUUGUUCGGGAGGUGUGUACUUCACGUGUUUCUUCAAGCAGUCAUGCUUUAGAUUAUCCAACAACGUGGUCUUUUGGGUUCAUCUAAAAUCAGCAGCUAGUCCAAUUUUUAAUAAACUGUUUGAUUCACACCCUCCUCUAUAUUCUCAAAUGGUGUGUAGACAAGGAGUGAUUAUUAAUUUGAUCUUUUUUCCUGCAGAUGAAGAUUGCCAUAGCAGCUUUGGAUUAGAUUUCAUGAAUCAUCUAAUCAUUGCACCUAGCAUACCUUUGUGUGAUGGAAUUUGA